rnacentral:rRNA from 1 species
CCUACGGGGGGCAGCAGUAGGGAAUAUUGCACAAUGGGGGAAACCCUGAAGCAGCAACGCCGCGUGAAGGAUGAAGGUUUUCGGAUUGUAAAGCUCUGUUGUCAGAGAAGAUAAUGACGGUAUCUGACGAAUAAGCACCGGCUAACUACGUGCCAGCAGCCGCGGUAAUACGGAGGGUGCAAGCGUUACGCGGAAUCACUGGGCGUAAAGGGCGCGUAGGCGGGUUAGCAAGUCAGGUGUGAAAUCCCAGGGCUUAACCCUGGGACUGCACUGGAAACUGUUAAACUAGAGUGCAGGAGAGGUAAGUGGAAUUCUUGGUGUAGGGGUGAAAUGCGUAGAGAUUAGGAGGAAUACUCGUGGCGAAGGCGACCUGCUGGAACGUAACUGACGCUGAGGCGCGAAAGCGUGGGGAGCAAACAGGAUUAGAUACCCGAGUAGUC